GGGCUGGUCCCGGGAGGCGGCGGCGGCGGCGGGCCGGGAGGGCUCGGCUGGGCGCCGGGCCGGGCGGGGCCUGCUGCGCGACGGGCUGCCGGCCUGGUCCGGGGUGAGCGCCGGUCGGCAGGCCCUGGCUGGCGUGAGGCUGGCAGGGGCGGGGGAGCGGCCGCUGGUGCGCGGUGUGGACGGGGCGGGGGUCUCUGGUACAGCCCCCUGCAAGCCCUGCCCGGGCCCCAUCCCGUGAAGCUGCCCCGUCGUUCGGCCGGGCAGCGCGGGGAGGCUGCGGGCGGGCUUCGGGCGCUGGGAGAAAAGCCCUUCCUGAAGGUGCUGCGACACCCGCGCUAAAAACCGCCUUCAGCCAGAAGCUGCAGCCGCACCGAGGACCAAGCGAGGCGGUCUCUCCGUUUCCCCCCCGUUCCCCUUCUCCCAAAGCUACGUCGGAGCCCACCUCUGGAGGGGACUCGCAGGCCUUGCGUGAGGCAGCGUGAGGGAAAGGGACCCGGUGCGUGUCUGGCGGCAGGGUCCCGGGUGCCGAGUGCCUGGAGGUAGGGCCCUGAUGGGGAGACCUGAAAGCUACACCUCUGGAACCGUGGCGGUGUUGGUUGGCCAAAAACAUCCCCGAGGCGGCCGUCCUGUCUGCGCGGUGCUGUGCGGAGAGAUGCAGCCUCGGUCCUUGCUUCGUUGUAGAGGCGCUUGCGCACCGCGGCCCUAAAAUAACCACCCUUCGCGGUCCUGCUUCCCUCUACCUGCAAACGUAAGGCACGCUUGUAUAGCAGAGGUUUUAAUCGGGGAUGGGGUGAAGAGAAUGAGGGCUGCGGGGAAGGAUUUCCCUUUGCUGAGGCUCACAGCCUGGCCUCUCCUUUUGAGAGCAGGUGCCGACCUACAGCCUAUUUCUGUUCCCUCGAAGAAUUAAUUAUUUUCUCCUGUAUGUGGCCCCUGGAGGAAGAAGUCCAAGCACCUCCCUCCCCCUGUCAUUCUGUAUCUCCAGCGAUCAGAGCGCUUCCUUAGGAGCUGGAGAUGUGGCUCCUGGUCCUUUUCCCAGAACUUCGUGUUUUGUCCUCUGACAAACGUUCAAUGUAAAGUACAUGGAGCAGACUUGGAAAAGGGGACUGAAAUCCAAGGCUGUUCCCCUCCCUUCCCCAUGGCAAUAUUAUUAUUGCUAGGUCAUGGCCUCUCCUUGAAUCCUGAAUCCCCACCCUUUCCCCCAGGCAGCAGUACGGGUUCAACAGGCUGGUUCAAAAUGGAGUGUGUGUUAGGCUAGCAUACCUCCCAGUAGAUACUCUUCAGGCUAGCCUACCUCCCGGGUAAGACACUCUUCAGGAAGGUCGGGGGCAGCAGGGGGAGAAGCUGACCUUGGGUCUCCUGGUGUGGGGAGCACCUGCAAGGCACACAGAGGGAAGGAAGUGCCCCCCCUGGGGAGUUGAGAAAGGGUUCAAAGGGGCUGGUGAAGUGUUAAGCAAAAGCAGUCGGCAGCUCAGCACAUGGUGGGGAAGUUGAUGAUAAGCAUUUGCAGCUGGUUCUCUCUCUCUCCCACCCUGGAGGAACUGGGUGGCUGCUGACUCAGGAGCUGCAUCAAGUCAGAGGAAUGGGAAGGGGGUCACAUUUCCUGAGUGCCCGAGACACGCUGCAGCGGGCGAUGGGAUAGCGACGGGCACCUCCUACCUGCUGUCCCGUCUUGGAAGAGCGAUCACAGCAGCGUGCUGUAAGGAGCUGGAGCCCUCUGGAAUGUUGGGACUAAUCAUGUGAGAAAAGAUCCUGGAGUGAUGAGGCAGCAUAUUUCCCAUGUCUGAGGUCAGCUUCACAGAACAAAUCCUGACCUUUAAAACAGCCUGAAAAUGAGGAACGUGGCACCAGAGAGCAGAGCAGGAAACAUGAAAUGAUGAAAUGCAAGCAGUCAAGCAGUUUUCCAGAGGCCCACAUGCCUCUGGAAAGCAGUAGAAGUAUCUGCAUGAGCAAAGAGCUCCAGCGCAGCAAGGUACAGAGGAUGUAAGAAUAAGGCUGUGGCUGGAGAGAUGGAAAUGGCUUCGUCGGGGCACCAGGUGAAGUCCUGCAGUGGCUAUUCUUAUUUGCAAAGACUGCAGCUGAAAACAGACCCAGGCAGGAGCUGAUCCACACUGUUCUGAGCCUUUGGGGAACAUUCAGUUUUGGAACUGAAGGACCCAUGUUUUAGGCUAAACUGAACCCAUGAGUCUAAAACUUCUUCAAAACUCUGGGGAGAUGUUGCUUUUGACCUCACUCUGCAGCAUGGAUCCAUUUGCUUCAUCACUAGUCAGAUGAAGCUUAUUCUCAGUGUCAGAAGAAGAUCUACCUCUGCUCUCUGGCUCAGAUUAGUUUACUGUUGCUCCCCCAGUUUAUCAGCUUUUAUAUGCAUAUCCUGCUGCUAAAUGUGUGUAAAAUAAGUGGCUAGUCCUUUUACUCUCUUUCCUUUCAGCUUGUUGAUCGCAGGAUUCAGUCAUAUGCAUAGUAAUGUGUAAUUGAAGCAUGGUGGCUUUACCCAGCUGGCUUAGAUCUCACCUCUAAGCCUGUAUGCAAAAAGACCUACCUAUUCUGUGCAGUGUGGGAAGCCCUCCAGGGCCCAGAAUGUGAGAAGUAAUCAAUUCUUGUAGAAACAUUUCUGCGAUACUGUGGAAUCCAGCCGAGAGACAUGAUGAAAGUGGAAACUGUUUUCUAGGACAUCCAGUUUCAUUUAAUUUUGUCAUGCCCAUAGAACUUUUCAGCAAAUGUCCGUAUCCUUCUGUGUGUUGAUUGUGUCCUGCAUCCUUUUGUGAUUUGGUUACCCUGGCAAUCCAGCUAAUUUUCCAGAAAAGUCAGCUCCAUCAAAGUUCAUUGACUUGUUACAUUAAUGGCCUGCUUGCUCCUUCAGUAGACUUUAGCAUCCAUUGAUUGCAAGUUCUUUCAUGGGCUUGGACCCUUAUGAGAAGAGAUCUGCAGAGAGGGUUAUGCCCUGGCAUGCUUGAUUGGAGCUGAUUUUUUUUUUUUCCCCUUGUCUCUUCUUCACUGUAGCUAGACUGAUCCUCUUUCUUGUUUCUUAAAACACUGGGGUAAUUUUUCUACCUGUCACCAGACCUCUGUUCCAGCACGUUGUCUAUAGGAGUGAAGUUUUCCAGUAAAAGUCUCUUCUUA